rnacentral:tRNA from 1 species
GGGGAUUUAGCUCAGCUGCAUAAGCGCCUGCCUUGCAAGCAGGCAGUCAUCAGUUCGAUCCCUGGUACCCA